rnacentral:rRNA from 1 species
GCGCAGCAGUCGCGAAUUUUUCUCAAUGGGGGCAACCCUGAAGGAGCGACGCCGCGUGGAGGGUGAAGGCUUUCGGGUUGUAAACUCCUGUCAUUUGAGAACAAGUGUAGCCAAGUAACUACUGGCUACUUGAUAGUAUCAGAAGAGGAAGGGACGGCUAACUCUGUGCCAGCAGCCGCGGUAAUACAGAGGUCCCAAGCGUUGUUCGGAUUCAUUGGGCGUAAAGGGUGCGUAGGUAGCGUGGUAAGUCGGGUGUGAAAUUUCGGAGCUUAACUUCGAAACUGCAUUCGAUACUGCCGUGCUUGAGGACUGGAGAGGAGACUGGAAUUUACGGUGUAGCAGUGAAAUGCGUAGAGAUCGUAAGGAAGACCAGUGGCGAAGGCGGGUCUCUGGACAGUUCCUGACACUGAGGCACGAAGGCUAGGGGAGCAAACGGGAUUAGAUACCCGUGUAGU